AAGAAAAUGGUUAUACAUGAUGCACUUCUUUCACUUUGUUUUUCUUUCCCCCAAUGGUCAUUCUGAUUUAUGAAUGCCAUGACUAUUUGUAGGAUGAUGGAAUAUACGAAGUUGUUGUAGGAAGUGACUUUGUCAUUACUAAAGUUGCAUUUUGAGACAACUCUUCAAAGUACUACAUAAAUGACCGUGGAUGUAAUUUUAUAGAGGUCACUAAGAAAUUGAAAGGAAAAGGAGUGGACUUGGACAACAAUCGAUUUUUUAUUCUUUAGGGUGAAGUCGAGCAAAUUUCUCUAAUGAAGCCAAAGAUUUGUAUUUUCAGCAUUAUUGUAAUUUUUAUUGUAAUUGAUUGAAUGAAGGAUUGUAAUUGAUUGAAUGAAGGAUUGUAAUUGAUUGUAAUUGAAUGAAUGAAUGAUUGUAAUUGAUU